rnacentral:rRNA from 1 species
UCUCGUUGGUGACCAGCGGAGGGUCAUUACCGAGUUUACAACUCCCAAACCCCUGUGAACAUACCUAUACGUUGCCUCGGCGGAUCAGCCCGCGCCCGGUAAAACGGGACGGCCCGCCCGAGGACCCUAAACUCUGUUUUUAGUGGAACUUCUGAGUAAAACAAACAAAUAAAUCAAAACUUUCAACAACGGAUCUCUUGGUUCUGGCAUCGAUGAAGAACGCAGCAAAAUGCGAUAAGUAAUGUGAAUUGCAGAAUUCAGUGAAUCAUCGAAUCUUUGAACGCACAUUGCGCCCGCCAGUAUUCUGGCGGGCAUGCCUGUUCGAGCGUCAUUUCAACCCUCAAGCUCAGCUUGGUGUUGGGACUCGCGGUAACCCGCGUUCCCCAAAUCGAUUGGCGGUCACGUCGAGCUUCCAUAGCGUAGUAAUCAUACACCUCGUUACUGGUAAUCGUCGCGGCCACGCCGUAAAACCCCAACUUCUGAAUGUUGACCUCGGAUCAGGUAGGAAUACCCGCUGAACUUAAGCAUAUCAAUAAGCGGAGGAAAAGAAACCAACAGGGAUUGCCCUAGUAACGGCGAGUGAAGCGGCAACAGCUCAAAUUUGAAAUCUGGCUCUCGGGCCCGAGUUGUAAUUUGUAGAGGAUACUUUUGAUGCGGUGCCUUCCGAGUUCCCUGGAACGGGACGCCAUAGAGGGUGAGAGCCCCGUCUGGUUGGAUGCCAAAUCUCUGUAAAGUUCCUUCGACGAGUCGAGUAGUUUGGGAAUGCUGCUCUAAAUGGGAGGUAUAUGUCUUCUAAAGCUAAAUACCGGCCAGAGACCGAUAGCGCACAAGUAGAGUGAUCGAAAGAUGAAAAGCACUUUGAAAAGAGAGUUAAAAAGUACGUGAAAUUGUUGAAAGGGAAGCGUUUAUGACCAGACUUGGGCUUGGAUAAUCAUCUGGGGUUCUCCCCAGUGCACUUUUCCAGUCCAGGCCAGCAUCAGUUUUCGCCGGGGGAUAAAGGCUUCGGGAAUGUGGCUCCCUCCGGGGAGUGUUAUAGCCCGUUGCGUAAUACCCUGGCGGGGACUGAGGUUCGCGCAUCUGCAAGGAUGCUG